AACGGACGAGAAGCUUGCUUCUCUGAUGUUAGCGGCGGACGGGUGAGUAACACGUGGAUAACCUACCUAUAAGACUGGGAUAACUUCGGGAAACCGGAGCUAAUACCGGAUAAUAUUUUGAACCGCAUGAUUCAAAAGUGAAAGACGGUCUUGCUGUCACUUAUAGAUGGAUCCGCGCCGCAUUAGCUAGUCGGUAAGGUAACGGCUUACCAAGGCAACGAUGCGUAGCCGACCUGAGAGGGUGAUCGGCCACACUGGAACUGAGACACGGUCCAGACUCCUACGGGAGGCAGCAGUAGGGAAUCUUCCGCAAUGGGCGAAAGCCUGACGGAGCAACGCCGCGUGAGUGAUGAAGGUCUUCGGAUCGUAAAACUCUGUUAUUAGGGAAGAACAAAUGUGUAAGUAACUAUGCACGUCUUGACGGUACCUAAUCAGAAAGCCACGGCUAACUACGUGCCAGCAGCCGCGGUAAUACGUAGGUGGCAAGCGUUAUCCGGAAUUAUUGGGCGUAAAGCGCGCGUAGGCGGUUUUUUAAGCCUGAUGUGAAAGCCCACGGCUCAACCGUGGAGGGUCAUUGGAAACUGGAAAACUUGAGUGCAGAAGAGGAAAGUGGAAUUCCAUGUGUAGCGGUGAAAUGCGCAGAGAUAUGGAGGAACACCAGUGGCGAAGGCGACUUUCUGGUCUGUAACUGACGCUGAUGUGCGAAAGCGUGGGGACCAAACAGGAU
rnacentral:rRNA from 1 species